rnacentral:misc_RNA from 1 species
UCCGAGUUGACCCCGGCAGUCUCCCACGAGUCCCCGGCAUUACCCGCUGGCAACAUGGGACAGGGGUUGCGCUCGUUGCGGGACUUAACCCAACAUCUCACGACACGAGCUGACGACAACCAUGCACCACCUGUGCACGGCCCUUACGGACCCCGCAUCUCUGCGAGAUUUCCGUGCAUGUCAAGCCUAGGUAAGGUUUUUCGCGUUGCGUCGAAUUGAACCACAUGCUCCACCGCUUGUGCGGGUCCCCGUCAAUUCCUUUGAGUUUUAGCCUUGCGGCCGUACUCCCCAGGCGGGGCGCUUAAUGCGUUAGCUACGGCACGGAACCCGUGGAAAGGAUCCCACACCUAGCGCCCAACGUUUACGGUGUGGACUAC